rnacentral:rRNA from 1 species
UACGUAGGUGGCUAGCGUUGUCCGGAUUUACUGGGCGUAAAGAGCGCGCAGGCGGUCGUUCAAGUCGAGUGUGAAAGCCCCCGGCUCAACUGGGGAGGGUCACUCGAUACUGAUCGACUCGAAGGCAGGAGAGGGAAGCGGAAUUCCCGGUGUAGUGGUGAAAUGCGUAGAUAUCCGGAGGAACACCGGUGGCGAAGGCGGCUUCCUGGACCGACACUGACGCUGAGGCGCGAAAGCUAGGGGAGCAAACGGG